rnacentral:lncRNA from 1 species
GUCAUCGCUUGGGAGCCGCUGCAGGAUGGAGUGGAAAGCUGCUGCUGCUGGCAUUGUUUUUGUGGCAGCAGCUGAAUGACAGAUCCUCACUACAAAGAUACCCUUUUGGCCCCUGUGUAGGCCUCCUGGUUCGGACAUUUCACCAUGCCAGCACAGCGCCAUGAAUCCUGGAUGCAUGCUGCUGUUUGUGUUUGGCUUUGUUGGCGGGGCGGUGGUCAUUAAUUCUGCGAUCUUAGUAUCUCUCUCUGUUUUGCUGCUUGUGCACUUUUCUAUUUCUACCGGGGUGCCAGCGCUGACGCAGAACCUACCAAGGAUACUCAGGUACUCUGUCCACUCUCUCGGAAGCUCCUGCUUCACUGGGGUUUUUUUGUUUGUUUGUUUGUUUGUUUUUUAUAAUUCUUAGGACCAUGAGUCUGCUUUGUAACCAUUUCUGCUGCAGAUUCAAACAAUGGAAAACGGCCUCGAGCUAGGAUGUCUAUUAAUUUGUAGGUUCCUAAAUGGAACUAUGUUUUGUGUUUGGAAAUCACAGACCAAAAAAAAAAAAGGAUUCUCUGUUGUACAAAUAUAAGGUCAGCGUGGUCACAAUGCUGAAGAGUAAGGAAGCACAAGAGCCCAGUACCAGGUCGAAGUCUGUAUAGAGCUCUGGAUUUAGCUUCCGAGUAUCGAGGGACAAAUGGCUUUUAUGCUUUGUAUUGCAAAUGGUUGGCCACAGAAUGUAGGUUUAUUUAUUUAUUUAUUUUUCUUUGAGUUAUCCUUUGCCUAAUGUAAGGUUUGAUGUCAGUUUUAUAGUUUGAGUAACAGCUAUGGAAACUGAUAUUUUCCUGCUACUAUAAAAUAUAUUUUAAAC